rnacentral:rRNA from 1 species
AUUGAACGCUGGCGGCAGGCCUAACACAUGCAAGUCGAACGAGAGGCGGACGGGUGAGUAAUGUAUGGGAAACUGCAUGAUGGCUGGGGAUAACUACAGGAAACGGUAGCUACUACCGAAUACCAUCGGAGGUGCCGAGUUGGGAUGAGCUCGUAGGUGGGGUAAAGGCGCACCUAGGCGACGAGCCCUAGCUGGUCUGAGAGGAUGACCAGCCACACUGGAACUUAGACACGGUCCAGACUCCUACGAGAGGGAGCAGUGGGGGAUAUUGCACAAUGGGCGCAAGCCUGAUGCAGCCAUGCCGCGUGUAUGAAGAAGGCCUUCGGGGUUUAAAGUACUUUCAGCGGGAAGGCGUUACCCGCAGAAGAAGCACCGGCUAACUCCGUGCCAGCAGCCGCGGUAAUAC